rnacentral:rRNA from 1 species
GAUGAACGCUGGCGGCGUGCUUAACACAUGCAAGUCGAACGGAAAGGCCCAAGCUUGCUUGGGUACUCGAGUGGCGAACGGGUGAGUAACACGUGGGUGAUCUGCCCUGCACUUCGGGAUAAGCCUGGGAAACUGGGUCUAAUACCGGAUAGGACGAUGGUUUGGAUGCCAUUGUGGAAAGUUUUUUCGGUGUGGGAUGAGCUCGCGGCCUAUCAGCUUGUUGGUGGGGUAAUGGCCUACCAAGGCGUCGACGGGUAGCCGGCCUGAGAGGGUGUACGGCCACAUUGGGAAUGAGAUACGGCCCAGACUCCUACGGGAGGCAGCAGUGGGGAAUAUUGCACAAUGGGCGCAAGCCUGAUGCAGCGACGCCGCGUGGGGGAUGACGGCCUUCGGGUUGUAAACUCCUUUCGCUAGGGACGAAGCGUUUUUGUGACGGUACCUGGAGAAGAAGCACCGGCUAACUACGUG